UAGGGAAUCUUCCACAAUGGGCGAAAGCCUGAUGGAGCAACGCCGCGUGUGUGAUGAAGGGUUUCGGCUCGUAAAACACUGUUGUAAGAGAAGAAUGACAUUGAGAGUAACUGUUCAAUGUGUGACGGUNUCUUACCAGAAAGGAACGGCUAAAUACGUGCCAG
rnacentral:rRNA from 1 species